rnacentral:misc_RNA from 1 species
UCUAUCCACAUCAAAUAAAUUAACCUAAACUCAUUCAUCUAUCUUUCAGCUGCAUGUUCCACUCAUAUUUAGUGGUGGAUUGUCUAUAUACAGGUUUUCAUUUCCAUCAUUCACUAUCUUUUCUCUUUCUUUGAUGUUUCCCCAUUGUCUAAAAUCUCUACAUCCUUAGCAUCUACUAUUACUUGAUGAAGUUCCAAUGGAGUAGCUGCUGGGUCCAACUCCAGACAACCUUUAGGAGCAUUAGGACCUUCUUGACCUGUAAGCAAGUAUGAGGGAAUGAGAUGAGAAAAUCGAAACAUCUCUUUCUUUGGAACACACCUGAUUUCUCCAGGGUCCAAAUGCUGGUGGAACACUGUCUUGAAACCCACAACCUUAACUAGUGGAGCAACAGUUACUCCAAGUUCUUCACUGUAAUCUUCUAGUACUUCCACCAUGUCAUACUUGUGCACCACCUUAUCUUCUGUGAUUUCAUUCCAUUCAGCAGACCAAUUCCGAUAUAGAGCCCAAACAUCUCCCUUCUGAGGGUAUAUGCAAAUUACCCCCCAAUUGCCUUUUGUCCACUUGACCCUGUGUGAAAAGGAAUUAAGUGAGUUGUAAACCUCAUAUCUACCUACUCUGAAUUCACCACAAGUUUUUGAGAAGCCAGCAUUAACCCAGUUUAGUGGGCCCAGUUCAUUGUUAAUCUUUGAAUUAAGCCAACUGAUCUUCAUUUCGAACGGAUUCAAUGAGAUUAUUUUGUGGACCAUUGCAUAGUAUCGGGGCAUCCCAUCAUCAACAUCAUAUGCAGCCCAUACCUGGCUUUCUCCAAAGCAAUUUUCAGUUCGAUCCUUGUCAAAAUUAUAAAAAUCGGGAUCUGGGACAUCUAUUGACAUUGUUGCCAGAGUUUCUAUAUCUGCUUUUGCACCAGAACAUCCAGAAGAACACUUGAUGCCACGCAUUACAUUAUCUGUACACAGUGGCUCAGCAGACUUAUUUUGACCACACAUUUCGGGCUUUGCCUGAGAUUUUUCUCCUCCGUCAUUUUCUUUCACAUUAAUCUUCUCAUUUUUAAUGGUAGAUUUAGUUACUGUAGCUGAGUUCCAUUCAUUUAGUUUCUGACAAAUUUCUGCCCUAGCCUUCUCCAUAAGUAGUGUUUCAUUCCCAAACUGGAAGACAUAUCUUGUGCCACAGGGCUGAGUAAUUCCAUUGACCCUCUCUCUUUCAAAACUACCCUUCUUAGAUCCAGAUAAAUCAGAAACUUCUCCUCCUGCACCCAUUUGAUCUGCAACAUUGCUUCCAUAGUUGCUUAGACCAGUAUCUUCAAUGCUUCGUCUUCUCUUAGCAGAAUUGGAGCAUCCACCAGAGGAUACAUCACCUGUCUUUUCGGAGGUUUGAUUCUUUCGCUUAAGGGCCUCCUCUCUUUUUGUGGCUGCCUG